rnacentral:rRNA from 1 species
GACGAACGCUGGCGGCGUGCUUAACACAUGCAAGUCGAACGGAAAGGCCCUGCUUUUGUGGGGUGCUCGAGUGGCGAACGGGUGAGUAACACGUGAGUAACCUGCCCUUGACUUUGGGAUAACUUCAGGAAACUGGGGCUAAUACCGGAUAGGAGCUCCUGCUGCAUGGUGGGGGUUGGAAAGUUUCGGCGGUUGGGGAUGGACUCGCGGCUUAUCAGCUUGUUGGUGGGGUAGUGGCUUACCAAGGCUUUGACGGGUAGCCGGCCUGAGAGGGUGACCGGCCACAUUGGGACUGAGAUACGGCCCAGACUCCUACGGGAGGCAGCAGUGGGGAAUAUUGCGCAAUGGGCGGAAGCCUGAUGCAGCAACGCCGCGUGCGGGAUGACGGCCUUCGGGUUGUAAACCGCUUUCGCCUGUGACGAAGCGUGAGUGACGGUAAUGGGUAAAGAAGCACCGGCUAACUACCUG